CGUGGGGAACCUGCCCCAUAGUCUGGGAUACCACUUGGAAACAGGUGCUAAUACCGGAUAAGAAAGCAGAUCGCAUGAUCAGCUUUUAAAAGGCGGCGUAAGCUGUCGCUAUGGGAUGGCCCCGCGGUGCAUUAGCUAGUUGGUAAGGUAAAGGCUUACCAAGGCGAUGAUGCAUAGCCGAGUUGAGAGACUGAUAGGCCACAUUGGGACUGAGACACGGCCCAAACUCCUACGGGAGGCAGCAGAC
rnacentral:rRNA from 1 species